UUGUGAAUUUGGCUAAAGUUUCUGGUAAUUUAUUUUCGGUAAAGGCAUACGUAUAUAAUUUAAAUAACCGUGGGACCAUUAACUCCUGAAAACCUUUAUAAAAUUCAUUAUUAAAAGCAUCUGGUCCUGGUGUUUUCCCAUUUUUCAGUUCUUUU